rnacentral:rRNA from 1 species
ACGCCUAACACAUGCAAGUCGAGCGGUAACAGGGUCUGUAGCAAUACAGGCUGCUGACGAGCGGCGGACGGGUGAGGAACACGUAGGAACUUGCCUGGGAGAGGGGGAUAACCAAGGGAAACUUUGGCUAAUACCGCGUAAACUCGAGAGAGCAAAGCUGCCCGCAAGGGUAGCGCUUCCGGAUAGGCCUGCGUCCGAUUAGCUAGUUGGUGAGGUAAUAGCUUACCAAGGCGAUGAUCGGUAACUGGUCUGAGAGGACGACCAGUCACACUGGGACUGAGACACGGCCCAGACUCCUACGGGAGGCAGCAGUGGGGAAUCUUGGACAAUGGGGGCAACCCUGAUCCAGCGAUGCCGCGUGGGUGAAGAAGGCCUUCGGGUUGUAAAGCCCUUUAGGCUGGGAAGAAGUUUGGGUGGGGAUAAUCCAUCCAGAUUGACGGUACCAGCAGAAUAAGCACCGGCAAACUCUGUGCCAGCAGCCGCGGUAAUACAGAGGGUGCGAGCGUUAAUCGGAAUUACUGGGCGUAAAGGGCGCGUAGGCGGUGGUAUGAGUGUGAUGUGAAAGCCCUGGGCUUAACCUAGGAAGUGCAUCGCAAACGAUAUGACUGGAGUAGAUGAGAGGGUGGCGGAAUUUCCGGUGUAGCAGUGAAAUGCGUAGAGAUCGGAAGGAACGUCGAUGGCGAAGGCAGCCACCUGGCAUCAUACUGACGCUGAGGCGCGAAAGCGUGGGUAGCGAACAGGAUUAGAUACCCCCGUAGUCCA